GCAAGUCGAGCGGACAGAUGGGAGCUUGCUCCCUGAUGUUAGCGGCGGACGGGUGAGUAACACGUGGGUAACCUGCCUGUAAGACUGGGAUAACUCCGGGAAACCGGGGCUAAUACCGGAUGCUUGUUUGAACCGCAUGGUUCAAACAUAAAAGGUGGCUUCGGCUACCACUUACAGAUGGACCCGCGGCGCAUUAGCUAGUUGGUGAGGUAAUGGCUCACCAAGGCAACGAUGCGUAGCCGACCUGAGAGGGUGAUCGGCCACACUGGGACUGAGACACGGCCCAGACUCCUACGGGAGGCAGCAGUAGGGAAUCUUCCGCAAUGGACGAAAGUCUGACGGAGCAACGCCGCGUGAGUGAUGAAGGUUUUCGGAUCGUAAAGCUCUGUUGUUAGGGAAGAACAAGUGCCGUUCAAAUAGGGCGGCACCUUGACGGUACCUAACCAGAAAGCCACGGCUAACUACGUGCCAGCAGCCGCGGUAAUACGUAGGUGGCAAGCGUUGUCCGGAAUUAUUGGGCGUAAAGGGCUCGCAGGCGGUUUCUUAAGUCUGAUGUGAAAGCCCCCGGCUCAACCGGGGAGGGUCAUUGGAAACUGGGGAACUUGAGUGCAGAAGAGGAGAGUGGAAUUCCACGUGUAGCGGUGAAAUGCGUAGAGAUGUGGAGGAACACCAGUGGCGAAGGCGACUCUCUGGUCUGUAACUGACGCUGAGGAGCGAAAGCGUGGGGAGCGAACAGGAUUAGAUACCCUGGUAGUCCACGCCGUAAACGAUGAGUGCUAAGUGUUAGGGGGUUUCCGCCCCUUAGUGCUGCAGCUAACGCAUUAAGCACUCCGCCUGGGGAGUACGGUCGCAAGACUGAACUCAAAGGAAUUGACGGGGGCCCGCACAAGCGGUGAGCAUGUGGUUUAAUUCGAAGCAACGCGAAGAACCUUACCAGUCUUGACAUCCUCUGACACCCCUAGAGAUAGGGCUUCCCCUUCGGGGGCAGAGUGACAGGUGGUGCAUGGUUGUCGUCAGCUCGUGUCGUGAGAUGUUGGGUUAAGUCCCGCAACGAGCGCAACCCUUGAUCUUAGUUGCCAGCAUUCAGUUGGGCACUCUAAGGUGACUGCCGGUGACAAACCGGAGGAAGGUGGGGAUGACGUCAAAUCAUCAUGCCCCUUAUGACCUGGGCUACACACGUGCUACAAUGGACAGAACAAAGGGCAGCGAGACCGCGAGGUUAAGCCAAUCCCACAAAUCUGUUCUCAGUUCGGAUCGCAGUCUGCAACUCGACUGCGUGAAGCUGGAAUCGCUAGUAAUCGCGGAUCAGCAUGCCGCGGUGAAUACGUUCCCGGGCCUUGUACACACCGCCCGUCACACCACGAGAGUUUGUAACACCCGAAGUCGGUGAGGUAACCUUUAUGGAGCC
rnacentral:rRNA from 1 species